AACGCACAUUGCGCCCGCUAGUAUUCUGGCGGGCAUGCCUGUUCGAGCGUCAUUUCAACCAUUAAGCCCCAGGCUUGUGUUGGGGACCUGCGGCUGCCGCAGCCCCCUAAAAGCAGUGGCGGUCUCGCUGUCAUACCGAGCGCAGUAGUUUAUCUUCGCUUUGGGCAUGGUGGCGAGUGCCGGCCGUGAAACACUUUUCUAAGGUUGACCUCGGAUCAGGUAGGAAUACCCGCUGAACUUAA
rnacentral:misc_RNA from 1 species